rnacentral:rRNA from 1 species
AUUGAACGCUGGCGGCAUGCUUUACACAUGCAAGUCGAACGGCAGCGCGGGCUUCGGCCUGGCGGCGAGUGGCGAACGGGUGAGUAAUACAUCGGAACGUGCCCAGUAGUGGGGGAUAGCUCGGCGAAAGCCGGAUUAAUACCGCAUACGAUCUGAGGGUGAAAGCGGGGGAUCUUCGGACCUCGCGCUAUUGGAGCGGCCGAUGGCAGAUUAGCUAGUUGGUGGGGUAAAGGCCUACCAAGGCGACGAUCUGUAGCUGGUCUGAGAGGACGACCAGCCACACUGGGACUGAGACACGGCCCAGACUCCUACGGGAGGCAGCAGUGGGGAAUUUUGGACAAUGGGCGAAAGCCUGAUCCAGCAAUGCCGCGUGUGUGAUGAGGGCCUUCGGGUUGUAAAGCACUUUUGGCGGGAACGAAAAGGACUGUGCCAAUACCACGGUUCGAUGACGGUACCCGCAGAAUAAGCACCGGCUAACUACGUG